GCAGACAGGACACACGACNGCCCGAUCUCGUCCCAUCUCGGAAGCUAAGCAGGGUCGGGCCCGGUCAGUACUUGGAUGGGAGACCGCCUGGGAAUACCGGGUGCCGUAGGCU
rnacentral:rRNA from 1 species